GGAGGAAACAAAAUUAUCUUGUCAAACAUCAUCUUCCCAUCUCAGCACAAAACAGUAAGUUUUAAACAAACAACAGAAAUAGCAACCAAAAUCCAUAGCCCAAGUAACGAAACAUGGACCCAAAUUAUUAAGUUUAUAAUGGAAUAAUAGCAGGCUUAAAAAUAAUGUCAAUAACAUUUGAACUUUCCGAACGAAAAGUAUGCCAACAUACAAGGAAUAUGAUUUCUGCUUAGGCCGUCGGGCAAAAAAGUCGUUUUCGCUCCGGGAGUAUAUAGACGUCACUUUGGCAUAUAUCCUUCUCUGCGCCGCGAGGCUGUUGCCAUUGCUCUGCUACUUAAGUCUUGGCAUAUUCUAUAUUAUCUGUCAAAGUUCUUGCUGCUUUAUCUUCUGCUCCUGAGCCAUGAACGUCUACAGCUGCUUCAUUAGCAUGAAAAUGCUCUACGACUUGCGAUUCCUCUUCAGAAGAGCUAGACUUCGCUUGAUGUAAUUCCUCUUAAGAAGACAAGUCGUCAAAAUGCGUAACCAAGUUUAAUACGUAACGGUGGAGUCCUGCUAUGAGGAGAUUCUUUGUAUUUGUUUGCAAACUUUUUGUCACAUUUUCUUUUAUCUGUCAAAUUAAUAAAAUAGCAUCACAAUGUUUCUGAAAAUAAAGCAACUCAUUAAGUUACUCUGCUACUAUUA